rnacentral:rRNA from 1 species
UACGUAGGCAGCAAGCGUUGUUCGGAAUUACUGGGCGUAAAGAGUGUGUAGGCGGUGCUCCAAGUCUGGUGUGAAAGUCCAGGGCUCAACCCUGGAAAGCCGGUGGAAACUGUCGAGCUAGAGUCCGGAAGAGGCGAGUGGAAUUCCUGGUGUAGCGGUGAAAUGCGCAGAUAUCAGGAGGAACACCAAUGGCGAAGGCAGCUCGCUGGGACGGUACUGACGCUGAGACGCGAAAGCGUGGGGAGCAAACAGG